rnacentral:rRNA from 2 species
CAAGUCGAACGAACUCUGAGUAUUGAUUGGUGCUUGCAUCAUGAUUUACAUUUGAGUGAGUGGCGAACUGGUGAGUAACACGUGGGAAACCUGCCCAGAAGCGGGGGAUAACACCUGGAAACAGAUGCUAAUACCGCAUAACAACUUGGACCGCAUGGUCCGAGCUUUGAAAGAUGGCUUCGGCUAUCACUUUUGGAUGGUCCCGCGGCGUAUUAGCUAGAUGGUGAGGGUAACGGCUCACCAUGGCAAUGAUACGUAGCCGACCUGAGAGGGUAAUCGGCCACAUUGGGACUGAGACACGGCCCAAACUCCUACGGGAGGCAGCAGUAGGGAAUCUUCCACAAUGGACGAAAGUCUGAUGGAGCAACGCCGCGUGAGUGAAGAAGGGUUUCGGCUCGUAAAACUCUGUUGUUAAAGAAGAACAUAUCUGAGAGUAACUGUUCAGGUAUUGACGGUAUUUAACCAGAAAGCCACGGCUAACUACGUGCCAGCAGCCGCGGUAAUACGUAGGUGGCAAGCGUUGUCCGGAUUUAUUGGGCGUAAAGCGAGCGCAGGCGGUUUUUUAAGUCUGAUGUGAAAGCCUUCGGCUCAACCGAAGAAGUGCAUCGGAAACUGGGAAACUUGAGUGCAGAAGAGGACAGUGGAACUCCAUGUGUAGCGGUGAAAUGCGUAGAUAUAUGGAAGAACACCAGUGGCGAAGGCGGCUGUCUGGUCUGUAACUGACGCUGAGGCUCGAAAGUAUGGGUAGCAAACAGGAUUAGAUACCCUGGUAGUCCAUACCGUAAACGAUGAAUGCUAAGUGUUGGAGGGUUUCCGCCCUUCAGUGCUGCAGCUAACGCAUUAAGCAUUCCGCCUGGGGAGUACGGCCGCAAGGCUGAAACUCAAAGGAAUUGACGGGGGCCCGCACAAGCGGUGGAGCAUGUGGUUUAAUUCGAAGCUACGCGAAGAACCUUACCAGGUCUUGACAUACUAUGCAAAUCUAAGAGAUUAGACGUUCCCUUCGGGGACAUGGAUACAGGUGGUGCAUGGUUGUCGUCAGCUCGUGUCGUGAGAUGUUGGGUUAAGUCCCGCAACGAGCGCAACCCUUAUUAUCAGUUGCCAGCAUUAAGUUGGGCACUCUGGUGAGACUGCCGGUGACAAACCGGAGGAAGGUGGGGAUGACGUCAAAUCAUCAUGCCCCUUAUGACCUGGGCUACACACGUGCUACAAUGGAUGGUACAACGAGUUGCGAACUCGCGAGAGUAAGCUAAUCUCUUAAAGCCAUUCUCAGUUCGGAUUGUAGGCUGCAACUCGCCUACAUGAAGUCGGAAUCUGCUACGUAAUCGCGGAUCAGCA